rnacentral:rRNA from 1 species
GAUGAACGCUGGCGGCGUGCUUAACACAUGCAAGUCGAACGGAAAGGCCCAAGCUUGCUUGGGUACUCGAGUGGCGAACGGGUGAGUAACACGUGGGUGAUCUGCCCUGCACUUCGGGAUAAGCCUUGGAAACUGGGUCUAAUACCGGAUAGGACCACAUUUUGGAUGGUGUGGUGGAAAGUUUUUCGGUGUGGGCUGAGCUCGCGGCCUAUCAGCUUGUUGGUGGGGUAAUGGCCUACCAAGGCGUCGACGGGUAGCCGGCCUGAGAGGGUGUACGGGCACACUGGGACUGAGAGACGGCCCAGAGUCCUACGGGAGGCAGAAGUGGGGAAUAUUGCACAAUGGGCGCAAGCCUGAUGCAGCGACGCCGCGUGGGGGAUGACGGCCUUCGGGUUGUAAACUCCUUUCGCUAGGGAAGAAGCGUUUUUGUGACGGUACCUGGAGAAGAAGCACCGGCUAACUACGUG